UCUGUGGAGAGACUACUUCAGUAUACAAGCAAUCCAUGUGAACCACCACUCAUCCUAAAUGAGAACAGACCUCAUCAUAGCUGGCCUUCAAGGGGGGAAAUAAAACAUUCUGAACUUGCAGUUGUUAUAUAGGUGAACAAACAUCCAAGGAAACAAAUACUGUUCAUGCCCAAGGUCAGAAUUGAAAUGCAAAGGUUUGUUACAGCCUGCACAUGCCUCUUGUGUUAAGGGGUCUCACUUGCAGAUUUCCUGGAGGAAGAAGACCGGGAUUGUCAGCAGGACAGGCAGUGGAAAACCCACCCUGAUACAAACAAUCUUUCGUAUAAUCGAUCCUACUGUCGCUCACAUAUUCAUAGAUGGCACUGACAUUUCAACCAUUGGAUUGCAUG